rnacentral:rRNA from 1 species
GACGAACGCUGGCGGCGUGCUUAACACAUGCAAGUCGAACGAAGUGGCGAACGGGUGAGUAAUACGUGGGUAACCUGCCCUCCUUUUUGGGAUAAGCCUUGGAAACGGGGUCUAAUACCGAAUAAAGGGGGAUGGGCUCGCGGCCUAUCAGCUUGUUGGUGGGGUGAAGGCCUACCAAGGGGGUGACGGGUAGCCGGCCUGAGAGGGUGACGGGCCCUAUUGCGACUGAGAGACGGCCCAGGCUGCGACGGGAGGCAGCAGUGGGGGAUAGUGCACAAUGGACGAAAGCCUGCUGCAGGUACGCCGCGUGGGGGAUGAAGGCUUUCGGGUUGUAAACCUCGGUCGCUCUCGAACGGGUAGGUGGAGAAGAAGCGCCGGCUAACUACGUGCCAGCAGCCGCGGUAAUUC